CCUGCCUUGGCUUCUUGAAGUGCUUGGAUUACAGUAUUUCAGUUUUAUGCUCUGCAACAAGUUUGGCCAUGUUGGAGGACCAUCCAAAGGUCAGCAAGUUGGCUACUGGCGAUUGGAUGCUCACUCUGAAGCCAAAGUCUAUUACUGUGCCCAUGGAAAUCCCCAGCUCACCUCUGGGUUGACAUUCUUAACCUUCCUGGAUCCUAUCAGGGAAACCUCAUUCAUCAUUUCAUUUCCAAAUUAUGAAGACCAUCUGGGCCUGAGUGAAGAUGCUUGUUUCUUCCUCUUCCCUAAUGCCCUUUCCACCAGUGUGAACUGCAGGUAUGGACACAGGGCAGGAUGGGUAAGUGUUAAGUGCUAUGAGCUCCAAGGAAGAAGAAAUUCUGUAUGUACAACCAGAUAGUGCAUAUGUGGGUAAUGCUUAUUUUAUGCCCAUUUAAUUAAUGCCAUGAUCACUAUUGCUUCUAGUAAUUAAUUUGAUUUUCAUUAGUAGUGGAAAAAUAGACCAACUCCUUGAAAUCAGAGAGAGCUUUAAAAAAUGCUCAGCCAGGAGGUGUUAAGUAUUUCACUAAGUGUGAAACUUCUGGCAAAACCCCCAUCUCAGCAUUCAAUUGUUGUCUUUGUUAAGAGUUGUUGACAUAGAUACAGGAAUAACUUUUGACCAGCAAUUCCAUAAAUAUUUUACUCUACUGAAAUCCAUUUUUUGAUUUAUAAGCUGCACAUUUAAUGUAAAUAGCACAUUAUUCCCCCUGUCACAGAGCUGAUAUAGUAAUGAUUGUCUAUAAGUGAUAAUUAUUCUGCAUUUAGGGUUCUCUGCAUGAUCUUGGCUCACUGCAACCUUAUACAAACCUUAUACAAACAGUUAUAUCUCAAGCUGACCCUAGGCAAAAUUAUAAAAUGGUCUAAUAAAUUAUCUUUUACUUAUA